rnacentral:tRNA from 1 species
CAAAAGGUAAUUUAAGAAGAAUCCUACCUUUGGAAGGUAGAAGUGUGGUCUUCACCCUUUUGA